rnacentral:rRNA from 1 species
CCUACGGGAGGCAGCAGUGGGGAAUUUUGGACAAUGGACGCAAGUCUGAUCCAGCCAUUCCGCGUGCAGGACGAAGGCCUUCGGGUUGUAAACUGCUUUUGUACAGAACGAAAAGGUCUCUAUUAAUACUAGGGGCUCAUGACGGUACUGUAAGAAUAAGCACCGGCUAACUACGUGCCAGCAGCCGCGGUAAUACGUGGGGUGCAAGCGUUAAUCGGAAUUACUGGGCGUAAAGCGUGCGCAGGCGGUUAUAUAAGACAGAUGUGAAAUCCCCGGGCUCAACCUGGGAACUGCAUUUGUGACUGUAUAGCUGGAGUGCGGCAGAGGGGGAUGGAAUUCCGCGUGUAGCAGUGAAAUGCGUAGAUAUGCGGAGGAACACCGAUGGCGAAGGCAAUCCCCUGGGCCUGCACUGACGCUCAUGCACGAAAGCGUGGGGAGCAAACAGGAUUAGAUACCCUGGUAGUCCACGCCCUAAACGAUGUCAACUGGUUGUUGGGUCUUCACUGACUCAGUAACGAAGCUAACGCGUGAAGUUGACCGCCUGGGGAGUCGGCCGCAAGGUUGAAACUCAAAGGAUUGACGG